rfam:halophilic archaeon J07HB67 genomic scaffold scf_7180000098878, whole genome shotgun sequence.
GUCGCGACGGGGAGAAAACCCACAACGGGAUUGAAAC